rnacentral:rRNA from 1 species
AUGAACGCUGGCGGCGUGCCUAAUACAUGCAAGUCGAGCGAACGGACGAGAAGCUUGCUUCUCUGAUGUUAGCGGCGGACGGGGGAGUAACACGUGGAUAACCUACCUAUAAGACUGGGAUAACUUCGGGAAACCGGAGCUAAUACCGGAUGAUAUUUUGAACCGCAUGGUUCAAAAGUGAAAGACGGGCUUGCUGUCACUUAUAGAUGGAUCCGCGCUGCAUUAGCUAGUUGGUAAGGUAACGGCUUACCAAGGCAACGAUGCAUAGCCGACCUGCGAGGGUGAUCGGCCACACUGGAACUGAGACACGGUCCAGACUCCUACGGGAGGCAGCAGUAGGGAAUCUUCCGCAAUGGGCGAAAGCCUGACGGAGCAACGCCGCGUGAGUGAUGAAGGUCUUCGGAUCGUAAAACUCUGUUAUUAGGGAAGAACAUAUGUGUAAGUAACUGUGCACAUCUUGACGGUACCUAAUCAGAAAGCCACGGCUAACUACGUG